UAGGGAGACCUAAUCCAUUUAGAAAUCGAAAACAAUGAAAAUUGUCAAUAGAAACUAAAUUGGUCUAACCUAGGUCGUUCGAGAUUGGUAGACAUCUUUCAAAGUAUUAUUCGGCUUCGUUCAAAACCAUAUAUAAUAAAUGGAAAAAGACAGCACCUAAUUGUCAAAGUUAGACUGCUGGAUGAAGUUCCAGCCAGAACCUUGAAAACUGCAUAAGAGAACAAGAAAAAGCAGGCAGACACAGACAUUUAGAUGGAUGUGGAAGCAAAAGAGAUUGU
rnacentral:misc_RNA from 1 species